GAUGAACGCUGGCGGCGUGCCUAAUACAUGCAAGUCGAGCGAACAGACGAGGAGCUUGCUCCUCUGACGUUAGCGGCGGACGGGUGAGUAACACGUAGAUAACCUACCUAUAAGACUGGGAUAACUUCGGGAAACCGGAGCUAAUACCGGAUAAUAUAUUGAACCGCAUGGUUCAAUAGUGAAAGACGGUUUUGCUGUCACUUAUAGAUGGAUCCGCGCCGCAUUAGCUAGUUGGUAAGGUACCGGCUUACCAAGGCAACGAUGCGUAGCCGACCUGAGAGGGUGAUCGGCCACACUGGAACUGAGACACGGUCCAGACUCCUACGGGAGGCAGCAGUAGGGAAUCUUCCGCAAUGGGCGAAAGCCUGACGGAGCAACGCCGCGUGAGUGAUGAAGGUCUUCGGAUCGUAAAACUCUGUUAUUAGGGAAGAACAAAUGUGUAAGUAACUAUGCCCGUCUUGACGGUACCUAAUCAGAAAGCCACGGCUAACUACGUG
rnacentral:rRNA from 1 species